rnacentral:rRNA from 1 species
UACAGAGGUCUCAAGCGUUGUUCGGAUUCAUUGGGCGUAAAGGGUGCGUAGGCGGCGCGGUAAGUCGGGUGUGAAAUCUCGGAGCUUAACUUCGAAACUGCAUUCGAUACUGCCGUGCUUGAGGACUGGAGAGGAGACUGGAAUUUACGGUGUAGCGGUGAAAUGCGUAGAUAUCGUAAGGAAGCCCAGUGGCGAAGGCGGGUCUCUGGACAGUUCCUGACGCUGAGGCACGAAGGCCAGGGGAGCAAACGGG